rnacentral:rRNA from 1 species
UACGUAGGGAGCAAGCGUUGUCCGGAAUCAUUGGGCGUAAAGCGCGCGUAGGUGGCCCCAUAAGUCCGCUGUGAAAGUCAAAGGCUCAACCUUUGAAAGCCGGUGGAUACUGUGGGACUAGAGUACGGAAGAGGCGAGUGGAAUUCCUGGUGUAGCGGUGGAAUGCGCAGAUAUCAGGAGGAACACCGGUGGCGAAGGCGGUUCUCUGGGCCUUACCUGACGCUGAGGAGCGAAAGCGUGGGGAGCAAACAGG